rnacentral:rRNA from 1 species
GAUGAACGCUGGCGGCGUGCCUAAUACAUGCAAGUCGAGCGAACAGACGAGGAGCUUGCUCCUCUGACGUUAGCGGCGGACGGGUGAGUAACACGUGGAUAACCUACCUAUAAGACUGGGAUAACUUCGGGAAACCGGAGCUAAUACCGGAUAAUAUAUUGAACCGCAUGGUUCAAUAGUGAAAGACGGUUUUGCUGUCACUUAUAGAUGGAUCCGCGCCGCAUUAGCUAGUUGGUAAGGUAACGGCUUACCAAGGCAACGAUGCGUAGCCGACCUGAGAGGGUGAUCGGCCACACUGGAACUGAGACACGGUCCAGACUCCUACGGGAGGCAGCAGUAGGGAAUCUUCCGCAAUGGGCGAAAGCUUGACGGAGCAACGCCGCGUGAGUGAUGAAGGUCUUCGGAUCGUAAAACUCUGUUAUUAGGGAAGAACAAAUGUGUAAGUAACUAUGCACGUCUUGACGGUACCUAAUCAGAAAGCCACGGCUAUCUACGUG